AGGAGGAACAGCCACAGUGGCCGCGGCUGCUCUGCAGCCCUGGAGUCAGCCCCCGCAGGAACUCCGGAGCUCUCCGUCUGCAGGGCCUGGAGGCUCCGGGGCGGG
rnacentral:pre_miRNA from 1 species